rnacentral:rRNA from 1 species
CGCGGCCUAUCAGCUUGUUGGUGAGGUAACGGCUCACCAAGGCAUCGACGGGUAGCUGGUCUGAGAGGACGGACAGCCACACUGGGACUGAGACACGGCCCAGACUCCUACGGGAGGCAGCAGUAGGGGAUCUUGCGCAAUGGGCGAAAGCCUGACGCAGCUACGCCGCGUGAGGGAUGAAGGCUCUCGGGUUGUAAACCUCUUUCAGCAGGGACGAAAAUGACGGUACCUGCAGAAGAAGCUCCGGCCAACUACGUGCCAGCAGCCGCGGUAACACGUAGGGAGCGAGCGUUGUCCGGAUUUAUUGGGCGUAAAGAGCUCGUAGGCUGUUCCGUAAGUCAGGUGUGAAAGUCCAAGGCUCAACCUUGGAACGCCACUUGAUACUGCGGUGACUAGAGUCCGGUAGAGGAGUGUGGAAUUUCUGGUGUAGCGGUGAAAUGCGCAGAUAUCAGAAGGAACACCGACAGCGAAGGCAGCACUCUGGGCCGGUACUGACGCUGAGGAGCGAAAGCAUGGGGAGCAAACAGGAUUAGAUACCCUGGUAGUCCAUGCCGUAAACGUUGGACACUAGGUGUGGGGCCUUAUCAACGGGUUCCGUGCCGUAGCUAACGCAUUAAGUGCCCCGCCUGGGGAGUACGG